rnacentral:rRNA from 1 species
UACAGAGGUCUCAAGCGUUGUUCGGAUUCAUUGGGCGUAAAGGGCGCGUAGGCGGCGAUUCAAGUCUGGGGUGAAAGCCUUCGGCUUAACCGGAGAAGUGCCUUGGAUACUGGAUCGCUCGAGGGGGAUAGGGGCAUGCGGAACUUCCGGUGGAGCGGUGAAAUGCGUAGAUAUCGGAAGGAACGCCGGUGGCGAAAGCGGCAUGCUGGGUCCCUUCUGACGCUGAGGCGCGAAAGCCAGGGGAGCAAACGGG